rnacentral:lncRNA from 1 species
AAUGAUGUAUUUUAUGCUACUGCCAAAAUGAACAAUGGACUAUAUGUCAUUAAUCUUGAAAUACCUAUUUAUAACAUUAAUACUAAAAGGACUAAACCUAAUUACUUAAAUCCAACUUAUCUUUGGCACUGUCGAUUAGGCCGCAUAAAUGAGAAACGCAUUUCCAAACUCCAUAAAGAUUGACUCUUGGACUCUUUUGAUUAUGACUCAUAUGAGACAUGCAAAUCUUGU